GGCUGCGUAUUUCUACUCUGUUGUUUUAGAGCUAGAAAUAGCAAGUUAAAAUAAGGCUAGUCCGUUAUCAACUUGAAAAAGUGGCACCGAGUCGGUGCUUCG
rnacentral:sRNA from 1 species